rnacentral:lncRNA from 1 species
AGAACUUAUCAGUUGAGGCGUAAUUUCACUGUCCUUAAGAAUAGAUCGCGCCCCUCGGAGAUUGAAUCUCGGUGUAGCAGGUAAUGGCGGCCUAUCCUCCAGGAUACAAUAACUGGAUCACUCCAAGCGUACACUCGCAGAUGCAGUGAUACUGUCGAACAGCCCAGAACCGCACUCUUGGAAUGACAACAGAGAAGAGUAUCUCGGGAAGAAGAACAGAGAGACAGAGAGGCAGAGCUUUCGGGAACCAGAGGGAGGCCAGAGAGCCAGAGAGAGGAGAGAUUUUUUUAGAUAACUCUAUCGGAUCUGAUGGGGUUUAAAAAAGAAAUAAAGAGGCGUAUUUAAAAGACACGUCGUUUUAUGAAAGAGGUGUUUUUUAAAGACGCCCGUUUUAUCAAGAGAGAACCAAAGAGGUGUUUUAAAGACGCGACGUUUUAUUCAAAACAAUUUAAAAAAUAAAACGGCAAAAGAAACCUGACUCAAGCCCACACCCGCGGGGGGGUCCCCCCCUGCGCGUGAUAAUUGAGCGCGACGCGCCCGGUUAAACGUUUCCGGAUUGGAUUCGCCAAUUUUGGCUUGGACCUCCAUUGGGCUCAUGCGCGCGUGGGCUACCUACUUUCUUUGCUUCACCAAGUUAGAAAGGCUGAAUACUACAUAAAGACCUUUUAAGUUUUAUCUCUUUCCAAUGUGGGACUAAAGGAAGUACACUAAACAAAAAGGCAAAAAGCAAAGAAGGGCAGAAUUGGAAUUUUAAAAUAUUCCAACAAUCCCCCACAUAUUUUAAAAUUCAAUAAUAAGUUAACGAGCGCGAGAGUUCAAUACAUUAAAUUGGUGUCUUUGAGACUAUGAACCAUUUUUAGGACUAGUAAGUAUGACUUACAGAACUUUUGGUGAAACAUGAAAUUUCUAUGAACCAAAAGUCCUUUAUGUAAAUC